UACGGGGGGGUGCGAGCGUUGUCCGGAAUCACUGGGCGUAAAGGGCGCGUAGGUGGUUUGAUAAGGGUGUGGUGAAAGUCCGGGGCUCAACCCCGGACCUGCAUCCGAUACUGCGUGACUAGAGGUAGGUAGGGGAGAUCGGAAUUCCUGGUGUAGCGGUGAAAUGCGCAGAUAUCAGGAGGAACACCGGUGGCGAAGGCGGAUCUCUGGGCCUUACCUGACGCUCAGGCGCGAAAGCUAGGGGAGCGAACAGG
rnacentral:rRNA from 1 species